AGUUGGGCACUCUAAGUUGACUGCCGGUGACAAACCGGAGGAAGGUGGGGAUGACGUCAAAUCAUCAUGCCCCUUAUGAUUUGGGCUACACACGUGCUACAAUGGACAAUACAAAGGGCAGCAAAACCGCGAGGUCAAGCAAAUCCCAUAAAGUUGUUCUCAGUUCGGAUUGUAGUCUGCAACUCGACUACAUGAAGCUGGAAUCGCUAGUAAUCGUAGAUCAGCAUGCUACGGUGAAUACGUUCCCGGG
rnacentral:rRNA from 1 species